CGCGUCCUCUCUCUCUUUCCCCGAACACUCUCUUCCUCUCACACUCCCUCUGCCCUCACCGGAAAGCACCAUUUCCGGCCACCAUCUCACCACACCGCCUCCACCAAUCGAUGCAGCGCCCAAAACUGACCCUAACCCGAGGCUCGCCGUCGACAUGCACCGCCUCCGGCCUCCACCCGCGACCACCCAAUCUGCGACAUUGCUGCCUCACCUAAUCCUCUGAUUUCCAGCCAUCAAUCCUGACUAUCGCUACCAAAAAAUGAAGCACCAAGCCCUAAGGAGACCAUGCCUUAAGUCUUGAAGCAAGAAAACCACCGUACGAGCUCGCCGGAACUCGUAGCUAGCUCUGCAUGCCUUCGUUCUCCAACCUCCAGUCCAAAUCGAGCUAAACUACCUCCAUAGGUGUAAUCAGCGCCUCACUACCCACCUGUUCCCGAGACGCCGACCUCCGAUUCCGACUAGGGCCACCGUACGCGCUACACGCGCCGCCGCUGGCGCGUAGACCGCCAUAGCUCCGCCGUGUAUACCGCUGACUUAAUCCCUUGUUCUGGUAAUAAUGGAAUUCAGAUCGGAAAGUGAAGCUUCUGGUCUUGGUUUUGAUUUGAGUUCUUGUUGGGAUGAUGAAGAAUCCAGAAGGACUGCAAGGAGCCGUAUGUUAUGGAGUGGUUGUGGUUUCGGCAGAACUGAUAUAGGAUGGAGACUUGAGGUUUGAGGGAUCUGCAUUUUUGAAGGUUUUGGAGAAGAGAAGUGUUGGGUCUGUCUCCAUUGAAAAUGGAUUAAGGUGUUCCAAAACGGUUGUCGAUUGGGGGAAUGCAGCUACUACGAAUUGAUUUCUAUUUUGGAAAAGAAGAAGUGUUUUUGUUAAAGGACUCGAGUGUGUGCACUUGGAUUUGGACACAUGAUCGAAAGUCGGGAACGAACCCGAAUGUGGACGAGCACUCCAAUUCCAGGUAGGGUGAGCUGUCCCUUCCUUGUUAGAGGCUUUUCAGUAUAUGUGGAAUUCUAUACUAUGAUAGUAUGUUGCCUGCAAGAACGUUUUUGGUUGUUCAUUAGUCGAUGCCUCGUGAUACAUGUGUUUUCAGAACUGAUAAUUGCAAAUUGUGAAAACCGAGGCUAGACUUGCAUGUUGAGAUACUGUACCCUUGUAUGUGUGUACUUGUGACCUGAAAGUGAAUGGGACCUAGACGCGUAGAUUCCUAGGGAUCCCACGGUGUCGAUAACCGUGAACCUCCGG